rnacentral:rRNA from 1 species
CAGUCGCCGCGGGAAUACAGAGGGUGCGAGCGUUAAUCGGAAUUACUGGGCGUAAAGCGUGCGUAGGCGGUUUGUUAAGUCUGCUGUGAAAUCCCCGGGCUCAACCUGGGAAUGGCAGUGGAUACUGGCAAGCUAGAGUGUGUCAGAGGAUGGUGGAAUUCCCGGUGUAGCGGUGAAAUGCGUAGAGAUCGGGAGGAACAUCAGUGGCGAAGGCGGCCAUCUGGGACAACACUGACGCUGAGGCACGAAAGCGUGGGGAGCAAACAGGAUUAGAUACCCCAGUAGUCCCUGUCUCUUAUAC